AGAUGUAAAACCUUUAAAAUCCUUCUUCUACCAUAGGGAUUAAGAGAUUUUAUCCAUAUUUAAUAUUGAAAACAAGAAAUUAACUAGUCUUCAGCUUAGCACUGCUAUCUCUUGUUAAUCUUGAAUGAUCAUAAAACAAAUUUUUAAUUGCAAAUGUACAGAAUGCUAAUCAUGAUACUGAGCUUCAUUGUUCGUCCAAAUAUGUUUUCUUUCACAUUAUGAUUUCCACUGCAUCAUGCAUGACAUUGACGUUUGAGGACACUGAUCAGGUGACGUUUGAGGACACUGAUCAGGUGACGUUGGAGGACACUAAUCAGAUCAGGUGACGUAGGAGGACACUGAUCAGGUGACGUUGGAGGACACUGAUCAGGUGACGUUGGAGGACACUGAUCAGAUUUGGUGACGUAGGAGGACACUGAUCAGAUCAGGUGACGUUUGAGGACACUGAUCAGGUGACGUUGGAGGACACUGAUCAGGUGACGUUGGAGGACACUGAUCAGGUGACGUUGGAGGACACUGAUCAGAUGACGUUGGAGGACACUGAUCAGAUUUGGUGACGUAGGAGGACACUGAUCCGAUCAGGUGACGUUGGAGGACACUGAUCAGGUGACGUUGGAGGACACUGAUCAGGUGACGUUGGAGGACACUGAUCAGGUGACGUUGGAGGACACUGAUCAGAUGACGUUGGAGGACACUGAUCAGAUUUGGUGACGUAGGAGGACACUGAUCAGAUCAGGUGACGUUGGAGGACACUGAUCAGGUGACGUUGGAGGACACUGAUCAGGUGACGUUGGAGGACACUGAUCAGAUCAGGUGACGUUGGAGGACACUGAUCAGGUGACGUUGUAGGACACUGAUCAGGUGCAAUACUUCAAAAGCAUAUUUACCUAGCGGUAAUCAUAAUAUAGGUGGCGAUAUUUAUUUUUGUGUUUUGAAACUGUGAACAGUCACAGGUAUGUACUGUACAUGUAUUCAGAUGAAUUGAUUUAUGUGUCACAUAUGUACAGAUCAACUCAUUUGCAAGAAAAAAAUUGAUGAGAAAAUGCCCAUGGAUGAUGCUUUAUGGCAUAUCCAUAAUAUAUAUGUUACCUUUGAGUGACCUAAAUAUUGGGCUAUCGGCAAGUUGCAGCUGAACAUAUGUUCCCCUAGCCUACUUAAAUAUUUGUUGUUCAUCAGUGUGUAUAACAUGAUUUUAAUGUGCACUUUAUUUUGUAAACUAUGCAUGUAGGUUUUAUUAGGUCGUCUGAGACAAAGUCUCAAGUGACCUAUUGCGAUUUUUGUCCGGUAUCCGGCGUCCGGCAUCCGUCCGUAAACAAUUUACAUUUGCCUUCUUCUCCAAAACCCCUGAACCAAUUUCAAUGAAAUUUUGCAGA